rnacentral:rRNA from 1 species
CUAAGAAUCUUCCGCAAUGGGCGAAAGCCUGACGGAGCGAUGCCGCGUGAUCGAUGAAGGUCGAGAGAUUGUAAAGAUCUUUUCUGGCUGAGGAAUAAGUGUGGGAGGGAAUGCCCGCAUGAUGACGUUAAGCCAGGAAUAAGCCCCGGCUAAUUACGUGCCAGCAGCCGCGGUAACACGUAAGGGGCGAGCGUUGUUCGGAAUUAUUGGGCGUAAAGGGCACGCAGGCGGUUAUACAAGUCCGAUGUUAAAGACCUGGGCUUAACUCAGGGGAUGCGUUGGAAACUGUAUGACUAGAAUCUUGGAGGGGGAGUCGGAAUUCCUAGUGUAGGGGUGAAAUCUGUUGAUAUUAGGAAGAACACCGGUGGCGAAGGCGGACUCCUGGCCGAAGAUUGACGCUGAGGUGCGAAAGCAUAGGGAGCAAACA